UACGUAGGGGGCAAGCGUUGUCCGGAGUUACUGGGCGUAAAGCGCACGCAGGCGGUCGCGUAAGAGUGCGGGGACAGUGGGCGGCUUAACUGCCCAAGGGUCGCACAGACUGCGUGACUGGAGGGCCAGAGAGGGACCUGGAAUUCCGGGUGGAGCGGUGAAAUGCGUAGAGAUCCGGAGGAACACCAAUGGCGAAGGCAGGGUCCUGGCUGGCACCUGACGCUCAUGUACGAAAGCCAGGGGAGCGAACGGG
rnacentral:rRNA from 1 species